GAUUAACGCUAGCGGCAGGCAUAAUACAUGCAAGUUGAACGGCAGCACAGGUAGCAAUACUGGGUGGCGAGUGGCGCACGGGUGCGUAACACGUAUGCAACCUACCCUAUACAGGCGAAUAACCUUUAGAAAUGAGGGCUAAUACGCCGUAGUAUUACAGAUGGGCAUCUAUUUGUAAUUAAAGAUUUAUCGGUAUAGGAUGGGCAUGCGUCCCGUUAGUUAGUUGGUAAGGUAACGGCUUACCAAGACGAUGAUGGGUAGGGGAUCUGAGAGGACUUACCCCCACACUGGUACUGAGACACGGACCAGACUCCUACGGGAGGCAGCAGUAAGGAAUAUUGGGCAAUGGCCGCGAGGCUGACCCAGCCAUGCCGCGUGCAGGAAGACGGCCUUAUGGGUUGUAAACUGCUUUUAUACGGGAAUAAUAGAGUGUACGCGUACAUUUAUGCAAGUAUCGUAUGAAUAAGCAUCGGCUAACUCCGUG
rnacentral:rRNA from 1 species